UCCUUGUAAACAUCACACCUUUUUUUUUAGCUUCUAAAUUCUAAGUGUGGCUUUCUACCCCACAACACCAGCUUUCAAGCUGUAUUUACAUUCAAAUGUACUCAUUUGAUUAUUCACUGAGCAUCGAAUACUUGCCAGGCAGUAUUCUGUGUCAAGGAGAAGGACCAGUUAGGACCAGGGCAGGAGCAGAGGGAUCUCUCUGAAUGGGUACUCGAGCAGAGAAGCGGGGGUGCAGCCCAAGGAGGUCUGGAGUGGACUUCCUGUUCCAGGGUUGGGAACAGCUGUGCAAAGGGCCUGAGGUGGGAGCACGUGACAUGGUGAGCUGAGCCUGCAGCUGCAGCAGGUGCUCGAAAUCACAGGAGCACUUCGGUUCUCUGGCAGCAGAAUGGCCAGCCUGAGGGGAGCAUGCCGAGGCCCCACCUGGAGACAUGGAGCUGCACCCAGAGAGGCUGGGAAGCGCUGCCACCCCAGGGCAGCGACCAAGAGCAAAAGCUUCCCUCGGGCUCAGCGGGAGGCUGCAGGAACCCAUGCUGGAGAGAGACACGUGAGUGACUGGCAGACUUGCCCGACUGGACCUGCCCGAAAUCCUUUCUGCACCAUGAAACAAGAAAUGAGCUCAAGAUCCCGUCGUUCUUCUAGGAAUCCGUGGUGGGAAACCCUCACCGGAAGCUACAUCUACGAAGACGCGGGUUGGAGGAUAGCUCGUGUUAGCGGGAGGCGCACGGAGGGGCCAGCCUAGCCUCCCUGCCGCAGUUUCCAGAAGCACCCCACAGAUUAUGUCGUUAGGCAUUGCACAAACUCCUGGCUUGGCCGUAAAUGUUCACAUACAUUUUCAAAGGACAUUUGUGUCUCCUGCCUGCUCUGUGGCAGUGGCCUUGGUUGGGGACAUGUUGUGAGCUGGUUGUUCAAAAUCACAAGAGCCCUCCGAGUCACAGGGUCCUGUCUUGAAUGGGGCAGAGCCCACUUACGCUUUCACCCACAAAUACUAGCCAAGCGCCCACCACGGGCCAGAGGUGGUCUGGGUGCUGGGCACUGUCCCCGAGGGCUGACCUGCUGGACGGAUCCACCAGCAAGUAGCCCGUACCCAACAGACAGAUGCUGCCAAGAUACAAUGUAUGCCUCUCACGGGGACCAAAGCUCAUCCAAAUCCCUUCUGGGCAGGUGAGCUGAUGAGGGAACAUGAGGGUGAGGGAACGGAAGGCAAGCUGAGGACAAAGCAGAAGCUGACACCUUGCAACCCCCCCCCAUGGGAUGUAUGCAACAUUCCUCAGGCUCUCCUGGCUGCCCUAAAGGACAAAGAAA